rnacentral:rRNA from 1 species
GACAGAGGUCCCGAGCGUUAGACGGAAUCACUGGGCUUAAAGCGUGUGUAGGCGGAAGGGUAAGUACCUUGUGAAAUCCCACGGCUCAACCGUGGAACUGCUUGGUAUACUGCUUUUCUUGAGCCACUUAGGGGCAACCGGAACAAAUGGUGGAGCGGUGAAAUGCGUAGAUAUCAUUUGGAACGCCAAUGGUGAAAACAGGUUGCUGGGAGUGUGCUGACGCUGAGGCACGAAAGCCAGGGGAGCGAACGGG